rnacentral:rRNA from 1 species
UUCAAAUAAUUUGAAAAAAAAAAUAAAUUAAUUAACAGUUAAACAAAUAAUAAAAAUAGUUUUAAUAAUUUAAGUUAAAUUAUUUUUUAAGAAAAAAUUUAAUUAUUUAUAAUGAAUUAGUAUUGUAAAAGAAAUUUGAAAUAAAUUAAAAAUUAAAUUUUAUUUAAAGUAAAUUUUAAUUAUUGUAUCUUGUGUAUCAGAGUUUAUUAAAUAAAUAUUUAAAAAUAAAAUAUUCUCGAAGUUAAAAGAGUUAAUUAAUUAAUUUAGUUAAUAUGGUAAUAUUAUUAAAAAUAAUUAAUUAGAAAUGAAAUGUUAAACGUUUUUAAAUAUAUCUAGUUUUUUAAGAAAUAAAUUUAAUUUAAAUAAUUAUUAAUUAAAUUAUAAAUUAUUUUAUAAAUUAAAAUAUAUUAUAAAUAUUUUAAGGGAUAAGCUUUAAAAUAAAUUAUUAAAUGAAAUUUAUUAAAAAUAAAUUAAAUUUAGUAUAAUUAAUAUUAUUAAUUUUAUUUAAUUUGUUAAAAAUAAAUUUAAUUUAAAUAAUAUUUUAUAUUUAAAUAUUAAUUAAUUAUUAAAAUAUCUAUUUAAAUAAUAAAAAUAAAUUAAUAAUGAUAAAAUUAGUAUAAUUAUUAUAUUUUAUAAUUAAUAAAUAAUUAAAUAUUGAUUUAAGUAAUUCGGCAAAAUUAAAUAUUCACCUGUUUAUCAAAAACAUGUCCUUUUGAUAAAUAAUUUAAGGUCUAAUCUGCCCACUGAAUAUAUUUAAAGGGCCGCAGUAAUUUGACUGUGCAAAGGUAGCAUAAUAAAUAGUCUUUUAAUUGAAGACUGGAAUGAAUGAUUGAAUGAAAUAUUAACUGUCUCAAAUUAAUAUUUUAAAAUUUAAUUUUUUAGUUAAAAAGCUAAAAUAAUUUUAAAAGACGAGAAGACCCUAUAGAGUUUUAUAUCUUAUUUUUAUUAAAUUAUUUAUAAAAUUUAUUUAUUUAAUUAAAUAUAUUUAUUUUAUUGGGGUGAUAAAAAAAUUAAAUAAACUUUUUAUAUAAUAUACAUUAAUAUAUGAUUAAAUGAUCCAAUUAUAUUGCAUAAAAGAAUAAAUUACCUUAGGGAUAACAGCGUUAUUUUUUUUUUUAGUUCUUAUAAAAAAAAAAGUUUGCGACCUCGAUGUUGGAUUAAGAUAAAAUUUAAAUGCAAAAGUUUAAAAUUUUAGUCUGUUCGACUAUUAAAAUCUUACAUGAUCUGAGUUCAAACCGGUGUAAGCCAGGUUGGUUUCUAUCUUUAAAUAAUUAAUAUAUUUUAGUACGAAAGGAAUUAAUAUUUAAAAUAAUUUUAUAAUAAUGAAUUUAAUUAAUAAUUAUAGAAUAAACUAUUUUGACAGAAUUAAUGUAUU